rnacentral:lncRNA from 1 species
GGCGUGGCGACUGCCACAUGCUCAAGCCGGUCAUGGCGCAGCAAGGACUUUCCAAGUGGUGGCAGCCGGCUCUUCCCCGCCCCCUGCCCGGGGAGCGGGACACCACUUCGAGAGCCCAAAUCCAAACCUGACCCAGAGGCACAGUCUCGCAGGCUCUUGCUCCCUGUGCCCAGAAGCAGUUUGAGACCGGGACUCUCCCCAGGGCCAUCUAGGGCUGCCCAGGAUGCUACAGCCGGCAGAAGAUGCUACCAGAGUCCCUGAUGUUUGGUCAUUUUCAAUGCCAAUAACUAAGCUACAAUGGUUCUCCCACACCUGGAAGCUAAUGAGUAAUGAGCACUAUUAAGGCUUAUUUCAAAUGUAAA